ensembl:rRNA 5S_rRNA 5S ribosomal RNA
GUCUAUGGCCACACCACCCUGAAAAUGCCUGAUCUCAUCUGAUAUAGGAAGCUAAGCAGGGUCAGGCUCAGUUAGUAUUUGGAUGGGAGACAGCCUGGGAAUCCCAGGUGCUGUAGGCU